rnacentral:rRNA from 1 species
GACAGAGGGUGCAAACGUUGUUCGGAUUUACUGGGCGUAAAGCGCGUGUAGGCGGCUUUGCAAGUCGGAUGUGAAAGCCCACGGCUCAACCGUGGAAGUGCAUCCGAAACUGCAUGGCUUGAGUCUCGGAGAGGAAGGUGGAAUGCUUGGUGUAGAGGUGAAAUUCGUAGAUGUCAAGCAGAACACCUGCGGCGAAGGCGGCCUUCUGGACGAUGACUGACGCUGAGACGCGAAAGCGUGGGGAGCAAACAGG